CACAGAGAGAGAGAGAGAGCCGGUGACGUCAUCUUUUCCGCUUGACUCUGCGGCCGGUGGGAAUGUUCUCGAACAUGUCGGAUGAAGAAGUAACACAAGCAGGACCUGAGCCCUAGGACCAUGCCCCAGGACUACCUGACAUGAUGACUCCUUGCUGUCCCCAGUCCACCUGGCCAUGCUGCUGCUCCAGUUUCAACUGGCCUGGGCCCUAGGACCAUGUCCCAGGACUACCUGACAUGAUGACUCCUUGCUGUCCCCAGUCCACCUGGCCAUGCUGCUGCUCCAGUUUCAACUGUUCUGCCUUACUAUUAUUCGACCAUGCUGGUCAUUUAUGAACAUUUGAACAUCUUGGCCACGUUCUGUUAUAAUCUCCACCCGGCACAGCCAGAAGAGGACUGGCCACCCCACAUAUGCUCUCUCUAAUUCUCUCUUUCUUUCUCUCUCUCGGAGGACCUGAGCCCUAGGACCGUGCCCCAGGACUACCUGACAUGAUGACUCCUUGCUGUCCCCAGUCCACCUGACUGUGCUGCUGCUCCAGUUUCAACUGUUCUGCCUUAUUAUUAUUCGACCAUGCUGGUCAUUUAUGAACAUUUGAACAUCUUGGCCAUGUUCUGUUAUAAUCUCUACCCGGCACAGCCAGAAGAGGACUGGCCACCCCACAUAGCCUGGUUCCUCUCUAGGUUUCUUCCUAGGUUUUGGCCUUUCUAGGGAGUUUUUCCUAGCCACCGUGCUUUUACACCUGCAUUGCUUGCUGUUUGGGGUUUUAGGCUGGGUUUCUGUACAGCACUUUGAGAUAUCAGCUGAUGUACGAAGGGCUUUAUAAAUAAAUUUGAUUUGAUUUGAUUCCUUUGGCCGCCUUUCCUUCUAGUUCUCUGCUGCCAAUGACUGGAACUAAUUGCAAAAAAUCACUGAAGCUGGAGACUUAUAUCUCCCUCUCUAACUUUAAGCAUCAGCUGUCAGAGCAGCUUACCGAUCACUGUACCUGUAAACAGCCAAUCUGUAAAUAGCACACCCAACUACCUCAUCCCCAUAUUAUUACUUACCCUCUUGCUCCUUUGUGUCUCUACUUGCGCAUUCAUCUUCUUCACAUCUAUCACUCCAGUGUUAAUCUGCUAAAUUGUAAUUACUUUGCUACUAUUUAUUGCCUUACCUCCUUACUUCACACUGUACGUUGAUUUUUAUAUUGUGUAACUCUGUUGUUGUUUUUGUCGCACUGCUUUGCUUUAUCUUGGCCAGGUCGCAGUUCUCAACUGGCCUACCUGGUUAAAUAAAAGUGAAAUAAAAUCAACACAAUCCGAGGUCCUCCCGGGUGGCGCAGUGGUCUAGGGCGCUGCAUCGCAGUGCUAGCUGUGCAACCAGAGACUCUGGGUUCGCGCCCAGGCUCUGUCGCAGGCGGCCGCGACGCACAAUUGGCUUUAGCGUCAUCCGGGUUAGGGAGGGUUUGGCCGGUAGGGAUAUCUUUGUCUAAUCGCGCACCAGCGACUCCUGUGGCGGGCCGGGCGCAGUGCACGCUAACCAAGCACGGUGUUUCCUCCGACACAUUGGUGCGGCUGGCUUGGAUGCGCGCUGUGAAGCAGUGCGGCUUGGUUGAGACGAAGGCUUUCGACCUUCGUCUCUCCCGAGCCCGUAUGGGAGUUGUAGCGAUGGAUACCACAGAAAAAAAUAUAUUAUUAAAAAUAUAUAUAUAAAAAUUUUUGGGACAAUCCUGUCUCUGAGCUCUUUAUGGCUUUGUUUCUGCUUCUACACUGUGCCUUUCCAAAUCAUGUCCAAUCAAUUGAAUUGAUGGUGGAAUCCAGUCCAGUUGUAGAAACAUAUCAAGGAUGAUCAAUGGAAACACGAUGCACCUGAGCUCAAUUUCAAGUAAAGGGUCUUUCUGUUUUUUAUACAUUUGUAAAAAUGUCUGUUUUUGCUUUGUCAUUGCGGGGUAUUGUGUGAGGGGGGAAAGUAUUUAAUCCAUUUUAGAAUAAGGCUGUAAUGUAACAAAAUGUGGAUAAAGUGAAGGGAUCUGGAUACUUCACGAAUGCACUCUCAUAUUUACACAAGUACUCACACCCGAGUCAAUAAUUCAUAGAAGCACCCAUAGCAGCGAUUACAGCUAUGAGUCUUUCUGGGUAAGUCUCUAAGAGAUUUCCACACCUGGAUUGUACAACAUUUGCCCAUUUAUUAUUUUCAAAAUUCUUCAAGCUCUGUCAAAUUGGUUGGCUAAAGAACCAUUUUUAGGUCUUGCCAUAGAUUUUGAAGCAGAUUUAGGUCGAAACUGUAACUAGGCCACUCAGGAAUAUUCUGUGUCUUCUUGGUAAGCAACUGCAGUGUAGAUUUGGCCUUGUGUUUUUGGUUAUUGUCCUGCAGAAAGGUGAAUUUAUCUCCCAGUGUCUGGUGGAAAGCAGACUGAACCAGGUUUACCUCUAGGACUUUGCCUGUGCUUAGCUCCAUGAAGGAAAAAAAAUGAUCCUGAAAACCAUCCCAGUCCUUACUGAUUACAAGCAUGCCCAUAACAUGAUGCAGCCACCACUAUGCUUGAAAAUAUGCAGAGUGGUACUCUAAUGUGUUGUAUUGGAUUUGACCCAAACAUAACAUGUAUUCAGGACAAGUGGUUUCCUUCCUCUACGGCAACUGAGUUAGGAAGGACGCCUAUAUCUUUGUAGGGACUGGGUGUAUUGAUACACCAUCCAAAGUGUAAUGAAUAACUACACCAUACCCAAAGGGAUAUUUUAUGUCCUCUUUUUAUUUUACCAAUAGUUGUUGUUCUUUGUGAGGCAUUGGAAAACCUCCCUGGUCUUUGUGGUUGUAUCUGUGUUUGAAAUUCACUGCUUGACUGAGGGACCUGACAGAUAAUUGUGUGUGUGGGGUACAGAGAUGAGGUAGUCAUUCAAAAAUCUUGUUAAACAACAUUAUUGCAAUGCACACAGAGUGAAUCCAUGCAACUUAUUAUGUGACUUAUUGCACACAGAGUGAAUCCAUGCAACUUAGUAUGUGACUUAUUGCACACAGAGUGAAUCCAUGCAACUUAGUAUGUGACGUACUGCACACAGAGUGAAUCCAUGCAACUUAGUAUGUGACUUAUUGCACACAAACAAAAGGGUUGAAUACUUAUUGACUCAAGACAUUUCAGUUUUUCAUAUAAUUAAUUUGUAUAAAAACUAUUUAAAAACUAAUAUCUAAAAACAAUUCCACUUUGACAUGUUGCGAUAUUGUGUGUAGUGGGCCAGUAACCAAAACAAAUCUUAAAUCAGUUUUAAAUUCAGGCUGUAAUA